CAAUUAGAGUACAAACUGAAUGAAUAGGUACAGGUUGUGUUAGUCACAGUAAUGCUUGACAGUAAAAUAUUGCCUGGUAUGUUCUGUAUAUUGCAUCAUUUAUUUGCAAAAGGUUUGGUAAAUGGAAGAAAGGAAUGUGACAUGGAAAUUAUAUUCACAACUGAGAGACAAAAGGAGCUGGCUGAGGUGGAGAAAUGAAAAAGUAGACCCAGCCCUUCACUUCUUCCUGUCCCUGACCUGAAGACAAAUUAGAGCCCCACAUGUUCACCUUUGCUUCCUAAUUAGAUGUAAGAAGAGACGCCAAAGAUGUUCACUGGAAGCGAGUGAGACGGGCAUUAUUAGUUGUAGAGACAAACUGGAGAUCAGAGGAGUGAUUCUUAAGCAUUCCUAUAUCACCUCUCCCACACCCUAUCUGUUUUUGCUUCCUAGGAGCAGCUGAUAUCAUGGAGCCCUCAGAAAACAAUUCAGGUACCAAGACCGCCUCAGACACCCAAGAAUACACAAUGGGGAAUGUCACCCGGAUGGGCGUGGCGGGCUUGAUCCUGGUGGUCCUUGGAAUGCUGCUGUUUGAAGCGUGGCACAGUCAGAGAAGGACCCACAGUGCAGCCAGGACGGGAACACAGAGACACCCCACCAUUCAGCAAGCUCAGGACAUCGAACCGGUUUCAUAACUGAAUAAAUGGAUGAAUAUCAAGUCCAGUUUGCAAAAGAUAAAUCCAAUAUCAUUCUGGAAAAACUGUGUCUGGACCCAUGGAGCACUUCUCUUUUUAUCAGAUGAUACCUGGUAUAGUUUGUCCAAAAAUAUCAUGUGUGAAUGAGCGCACUGGUGUUUCCCAUGACUGUCGGGUGGUAAACCAGCUCUCAGAAAAUACUGUAUUUUCAAAAGCCCUGAGACAUGGCAUUUGCCGAUUUCCUGGGUGUAAAUACUCACUUCGUGGUCAGCCUCGAGAUGCCAGUGUGAGUGGCCUGUCGCGUAGCGGGAAUGGAAUGGGCAGACUCAUCUGUGCACGUGAGCACGAGCCCCCUGCAGCACCUCACUGAUGAGCCUCCUGUGCGUGUAUGUUUCCUUCUAUUGUAAAGGUCCUGGGAAUUUCCACCUCAGUUUGAUGCCACGGAUUCAAAGAAAUCGUGAUGUGAAAAUCUUUAUUUUAAAUUAAAGUUUAUUGGGCUCACAAUCUUAAUACAUCCACAUAAGGGACAAAAGGAAAAAAACAAUGGCAAAAUCAGCUGUGGGAAAACACUGAGUGCCUGAGUUACAUUUCUGGGAGGAAUAUAAUCUCCACCCUCCACCUUGCCUGUGGGCUCUGACACCACGAACCUUCCACGCACAAACUCCCGGACGUCUUAACCUGGUGGAAAUUAA